rnacentral:rRNA from 1 species
AAUCAACGCUGGCGGCGUGCCUAACACAUGCAAGUCGAACGAGAAAGGGGACUUCGGUCCCUGAGUACAGUGGCGCACGGGUGAGUAACACGUGACUAACCUACCCUCGAGUGGGGAAUAACUUCGGGAAACCGAGGCUAAUACCGCAUAAUACCCACGGGUCAAAGGAGCAAUUCGCUUGAGGAGGGGGUCGCGGCCCGAUUAGUUAGUUGGCGGGGUAAUGGCCCCCACCAAGACGGUGAUCGGUAUCCGGCCUGAGAGGGCGCACGGACACACUGGAACUGAAACACGGUCCAGACUCCUACGGGAGGCAGCAGUGGGGAAUUUUGCGCAAUGGGGGAAACCCUGACGCAGCAACGCCGCGUGGAGGAUGAAGUCUCUUGGGACGUAAACUCCUUUCGAUCGGGACGAUUAUGACGGUACCGGAAGAAGAAGCCCCGGCUAACUUCGUG